rnacentral:rRNA from 1 species
UGGGGAAUAUUGGACAAUGGGCGCAAGCCUGAUCCAGCAACGCCGCGUGGAGGACGAAGGUCUUCGGAUCGUAAACCCCUGUCAGGCGGGACGAAGGCUGCAGGGCAAAUAGUCCUGUAGCUUGACGGUACUGCCAGAGGAAGCCCCGGCUAACUCCGUGCCAGCAGCCGCGGUAAUACGGAGGGGGCGAGCGUUAUUCGGAAUUAUUGGGCGUAAAGGGCGCGUAGGUGGCCCGGUCAGUCCGUGGUGAAAGCGCGGGGCUCAACCCUGCGUCGGCCAUGGAUACUGCCGCGGCUCGAGCACUGUAGAGGCAGGCGGAAUUCCGGGUGUAGCGGUGGAAUGCGUAGAGAUCCGGAAGAACACCGGUGGCGAAGGCGGCCUGCUGGGCAGUAUGGCUGACACUGAGGCGCGACAGCGUGGGGAGCAAA